AGCAGCCGCGGUAAUUCCAGCUCCAAUAGCGUAUAUUAAAGUUGCUGCAGUUAGAAAGCUCGUAGUUGAAUUUCGGGAUCAAUAUUUCGGUCAUGCCGUUGGUAUGCACUGUUAUCAUUGAUUUCUCACCUUCUAAAGAACCGUAAUGCCAUUAAUUUGGUGUUACGGGGAAUUAGGACUGUUACCUUGAAAAAUUAGAGUGUUUAAAGCAGGCUCACGCUUGAAUACAUUAGCAUGGAAUAAUGAAUAGGACAUCCGAUUCUAUUUUGUUGGUUUCUAGGAUCGAUGUAAUGAUUAAUAGGGAUAGUUGGGGCAUUAGUAUUCAAUUGUCAGAGGUGAAAUUCUUGGAUUUAUUGAAGACUAACUACUGCG
rnacentral:rRNA from 1 species